UAUUGGACAAUGGGGGAAACCCUGAUCCAGCAAUGCCGCGUGUGUGAAGAAGGCCUGCGGGUUGUAAAGCACUUUCGGUGGGGAGGAAAAGCUGAGAGCUAAUACCUUUCAGUGUUGACGUUACCCAAAGAAGAAGCACCGGCUAACUCUGUGCCAGCAGCCGCGGUAAUACAGAGGGUGCAAGCGUUAAUCGGAAUUACUGGGCGUAAAGCGCACGUAGGUGGUUUGAUAAGUCGGAUGUGAAAGCCCCGGGCUCAACCUGGGAAUUGCAUUCGAUACUGUCUGACUAGAGUAUGGUAGAGGGGGGUAGAAUUCCCGGUGUAGCGGUGAAAUGCGUAGAUAUCGGGAGGAAUACCAGUGGCGAAGGCGGCCCCCUGGACCAAUACUGACACUGAGGUGCGAAAGCGUGGGUAGCAAACAGGA
rnacentral:rRNA from 1 species